GUCUUUAUGAAUUAAGUAUAAAGUUGAACCUGCCCAAUGAUAAAUUUAAUGGCUGCGGUAUAUUGACCGUGCAAAGGUAGCAUAAUCAUUAGUUUUUUAAUUGAAAGCUGGAAUGAAUGGUUUGACGAGAAAUAAUCUGUCUGUUUUUAAUAAAUUGAAUUUUACUUUUUAGUUAAAAGGCUGAAAUAUUUAUAGGGGACGAGAAGACCCUAUAGAGUUUAUAUAAGUAUAUAAUUAUGUUUAUGAGUAUAUAUUGUUGUAUAAUAAUUUAUUUAUAUUUUAUUGGGGUGAUAAGUGAAAGGAUAGGAAUUUUAUUGUAAAGUUUACUGUAAUGGUAGUAAUAAAUUUAUGAUCUUGUAGUAUGAGUUGUAAGAGGAAAUUACCUUAGGGAUAACAGCGUAAUUUUGUUUGAGAGUUCAAAUCGAUAAUGAAGUUUGCGACCUCGAUGUUGGAUUAAGAUUAUUUUUAGGUGAAGAAGUUUAAAGAAUAGGUCUGUUCGACCUUUAGAAUCUUACA
rnacentral:rRNA from 1 species